AAGAUCAAAGCGCAUAAACCCUAGCUCGAAAAUCUCGCGAUAAAUAAAAAAAAUUGCCUCGUCUGCAAUCUCCGCUUAUCUCUCCGUCGAGAAGACCAAUCUCUCUCCUGCUGUCAUUACUACCCUGAAAGAGCUGCUGCAUGCCAAUGGUUCGAGAAAAAGACGUCUGUUGGGAAUAUGCAGAUAAAUUAGAAGGAAACAAGGUAAGAUGCAAAUUUUGCCAAAGGGUUUUAAAUGGAGGCAUCAGUAGAUUGAAGCACCAUCUAUCUCGGCUUCCAAGUAAAGGAGUAAAUCCUUGUAGCAAGGUCAGAGACGAUGUUACUGAUAGGGUGAGGGCAAUUAUUGCAUCAAAGGAAGAUGUCAAAGAAAACUCUAGCGCGAAAAAGCAGAAGCUACCAGAAGUCAAGUCUCCAAGUCCUGUUUCUGGAACUAAAACUCUUUUGUCUAUAGAUGCAGCGUCUCCUGUUAUGAAGGGCUUCCUUACAGUCAGUCCUGUGACUCCUCCCUCUGUGAACCACCAAGAGAAUGCAGAGAAAAGUAUUGCUCUCUUCUUUUUUGAGAAUAAGCUUGACUUCAGUGUUGCACGGUCGUCAUCCUAUCAACUAAUGAUUGACGCCAUAGGGAAGUGUGGCCCUGGAUUUACUGGUCCAUCAGCAGAGAUGUUGAAGACAACAUGGUUGGAAAGGAUAAAGUCAGAAGUUGGCUUACAGUCCAAAGACGUUGAGAAAGAGUGGGCUACCACAGGUUGUACAAUUAUCGCAGACACAUGGACUGACAAUAAAUCAAGAGCCUUAAUUAAUUUCUUAGUCUCAUCACCAUCCAGGACAUUUUUCCACAGAUCUGUGGAUGCAUCUGCAUAUUUCAAGAGCACAAAAGGCCUUGCUGAACUUUUUGACUCUGUUAUUCAAGAGUUCAGCCCCGAAAAUGUUGUGCAAAUUAUCAUGGAUAGCAGUUUUAACUACAUUGGCAUUGCCAAUCAUAUUGUUCAGAACUAUGGAACUAUAUUUGUCUCUCCUUGUGCUUCCCAAUGUUUAAACCUAAUUUUGGAGGAAUUCUCAAAGGUAGAUUGGGUAAGCAGAUGUGUUUUACAAGCACAGACCAUAUCAAAGUUUAUAUACAAUAAUGCAUUGUUGCUUGAUCUUAUGAAGAAGUUCACUGGGGGCCAGGAACUGAUCAGGACCGGUAUCACAAAAUCAGUAUCCACCUUCCUGUCAUUACACUCCAUGCUGAAGCAAAAAUCAAGAUUGAAGCAUAUGUUCCACAGCCCUGAAUAUGCUUCAAACUCCUCAUAUGCAAGUAAACCGCAAAGUCUAUCUUGUAUUGCAAUUGCUGAAGAUCUUGAUUUCUGGAGGACAGUGGAAGAGUGUGUGGCUAUCUCCGAGCCUUUUCUGAAAGUCUUGAGAGAAGUUUCUGAAGGAAAACCAACUGUAGGUUCCAUAUACGAACUAAUGACGAGGGCAAAGGAGUCGAUUAGGACAUACUACAUAAUGGAUGAGAACAAGUGCAAGACAUUCUUAGAUAUCGUGGAUGAAAAGUGGCGGGACCAACUCCAUUCUCCUUUACACGCCGCUGCCGCCUUCUUGAACCCUAGUAUUCAAUAUAAUCCUGAAAUAAAAUUUCUUUCCUCUAUAAAAGAAGAUUUCUACAAGGUUUUGGAGAAACUACUUCCUGUACCUGACAUGAGGCGUGAUAUCACUAAUCAAAUAUAUACAUUUACAAAGGCUCAUGGGAUGUUUGGUUGUAGCCUAGCAAAGGAGGCAAGAACUACAGUCUCGCCGUGUAAGUAUGAAAUUGCGCCCUUGUUCUCUGUGUCUCAAAGGCCUUAUUUUGUCAGCUGAUUGUUUCAACGAGUAAAUUUCAUGAAAUCUCCUUUGGCCAAAAAAAAAGAAAAAAAUCACAAAAUCUUGGGGACGGACUUCAUUUUAUCAUUUAUAGCCAUAAGAUGCAGAAAACAGACCAUGUAUUUUGGAGCGUAGCUCACGCCAAGUUUCCUCUAGUUGUUACAAAAAACUUUGUUUGAGGUGUUAUUUUAUGUAGAAUUUAAUCCAUUAUUUCCCAGGAUCAUGCUAACCACGAGUAGCUGUUCAUAGGUUUCAAAACUUCGAAGUGGUCCCUGUUAUUUUUUCCUAUGGGCUAUUGAUUAUUCAUUAUGAAUUUUUUUCUGAGCAUUGUGGGCUUUAUCUUGCCCAUAGGAAAUGAAAAUUUCUGAAACUUGGUUUUGCUUGGUUUUUGAUCUGGGAAGCCACUAAUCUAAUUUCAACACGAACUAUAUAUUCCGGUCUGGAGGAGGGCAGAAGGUUCGAUUCGUGAAAUCGUAAGGGGACGCAUUUAAAAGAAAUGGUUCACAACUAAAUUAGCCGUGGCUAUAUUUUCAAGUGAUGGCAGGCUGGCAGCUUCCCCUUCCACAACAUGUGCUUAUUGCUUUGGGUCUUUGUCAUUAUUUCUUAGAGGCUUUGGUGGGAACAAUAUGGUGACUCUGCCCCUGGGUUGCAACGAGUGGCCAUUAGAAUAUUAAGUCAAGUCUGUAGCA